GAUGAAGAACGUAGCGAAAUGCGAUAAGUAAUGUGAAUUGCAGAAUUCAGUGAAUCAUCGAAUCUUUGAACGCACAUUGCGCCCGCCAGCAUUCUGGCGGGCAUGCCUGUUCGAGCGUCAUUUCAACCCUCAAGCUCUGCUUGGUGUUGGGGCCCUACGGUUGACGUAGGCCCUUAAAGGUAGUGGCUGACCCUCUCGGAGCCUCCUUUGCGUAGUAACUAACGUCUCGCAUUGGGAUUCGGAGGGACUCUUGCCGUAAAACCCCCAAAUUUUCUAAUGGUUGACCUCGGAUCAGGUAGGAAUACCCGCUGAACUUAAGCAUAUCAAUAAGCGGAGGA
rnacentral:misc_RNA from 1 species